rnacentral:rRNA from 1 species
UACGUGAGGGGCAAGCGUUAUCCGGAAUGAUUGGGCGUAAAGCGUCUGUAGGUGGCUUUUUAAGUCCGCCGUCAAAUCCCAGGGCUCAACCCUGGACAGGCGGUGGAAACUACCAAGCUGGAGUACGGUAGGGGCAGAGGGAAUUUCCGGUGGAGCGGUGAAAUGCGUAGAGAUCGGAAAGAACACCAACGGCGAAAGCACCUCUGUGCUGGCCGACACUGACACUGAAGAGGACGAAAGAGCUAGGGAGCGAAUGG